CACACACACUCCACUACGUGAGAAAUCCCUACAAUAAACGCUCAGAAGGAAAAAUAACAGCUUUAUGUGAAAAGGCGACAGACAGUCCACGGUGACCACUGUUCUGCGGACUAGGUGACCUGAAGCUUCUAUCAACCACUGGGCUCUCUCUUCUGUGGCUGGAAGCAGAUGACAGUGAAGCCUGGAGAAUGGCAGAUCCAGGAGGCCGAGAGAACCUAGAUCCCCAAGAGGCUGCAUGGAGAAGAAUGCUCCCACCAACCUGAGCACUCUGAAUUGUUAUCUAAGCUACAGAUAAAAUGCCAUUGUGUUUAGCCAUUUAA